CUUGUUCCUCCCGUGCUUCUGUUAGC
rnacentral:misc_RNA from 1 species